rnacentral:rRNA from 1 species
UCUAAGUACCCCGAGGAAAAGAAAUCAACCGAGAUUCCCCCAGUAGCGGCGAGCGAACGGGGAGGAGCCCAGAGCCUGAAUCAGCAUGUGUGUUAGUGGAAGCGUCUGGAAAGGCGCGCGAUACAGGGUGACAGCCCCGUACACAAAAGCGCAUGUGCUGUGAGCUCGAUGAGUAGGGCGGGACACGUGGUAUCCUGUCUGAAUAUGGGGGGACCAUCCUCCAAGGCUAAAUACUCCUGACUGACCGAUAGUGAACCAGUACCGUGAGGGAAAGGCGAAAAGAACCCCGGCGAGGGGAGUGAAAAAGAACCUGAAACCGU